AUAAACCUACAUGUCUGAGAAAGUCCAAGCUUAUCAUUUAGGAGCUAUUUCUCCCUAAUAAAGAAAAAUUAUCAGACGCAUAUUGUUAGGAUUUAAUUUGCUAUGAAUUUAGCAUGGACUCGGAGUUAUAUAUAUAUAUACAAAGAGGUAGAUUGUGAUUAGAGAACAUACAGAAGUAAUAAUACAGAAACUUGCUCUAGAUAAUUAGCUAAGAGCCUUACUCUAUGCUAGGGGUGUAGCCAAAAGAAUAAUCUGGUGCAUGGCUGCAUGCUCUCACAGGGUGGAUAAAAAGAGAGACCUAGUAUUACAUAGCAUCUAGAGAAGGAUGCAAAACUUGAUGAACAUUUAAACAGUGAUACCUACACAACCAAUCGUCUUGGCUAGUUCACCACAUGAACUGCACAAGGCCAAUAGGAGAUCUUCCAUCGGGACAAAAUUCAUCUUUGCAUUGUGAGCUUUAUUCCUCUCAAUAAAAGACACAAAAUUCUGUAUAUGUUUUUUGAACUUGAGGAAGUCCAACUUGAAACCCUUAUUCAUAUCACUUUUCUACAACAGCAAGAAAUUCAGCUGAUUGAUUUCUUCGCAUUUGAUUUGCAUUUGUAUUCAUUAGCUUUGGCUGCAGGUUCAAGUUGAUAGGCUUGGAGUUGGGGAUCAAAAGGGUAACCAAGCGCUCAAUUUCCGAAAGCAAUAACUCAGAUCUGAUGUCGGAUCGAAACAAAAAUGCAAAAAGACAACACAAACGUAAAAGAUCGAACUCUAAUUUAGUUACUGAGUGAGAUGUUUUGCUACCGAGUUCAAUGUGUCAAAGGCAUCAUAAUAAAAUCCACCUCAAUGUCCACACAACUGAACUUUGACAACUCCAGAGAAUCAGCAGGACAAGACCCAGAGAGGCCAUCCAAAAUCAGAGGGGAGACACAUUUUAAUGAACAAUCUAUUCCAGGUAUACCUUCAAUUUUGGAACACAGUCAAACAAUUUAAGAGUUAAAUUCGUCUAAACAGAAGUUAACAACCUUUUGUGCCAAUGUACAGAAACUGAAGCAGCCGGAAAAUUUACCUGAAGUGAACCAACUAGACUGAAGAUUCUUGAGCAAGUAUGACCUAUUUCAUAUACCUCAAGAAGAAUGGAUGCUACAAUUAAUGGCCAGACCAACAUUACACAGAACAGAAAAGAAUAGAUCUUGGUAGCAGUGUUCCAAUAUCUGGAGAUGGUCCUGAUUCAACGAAGUCAUUCGGACAAGUGCCACAGCAAGAAGACAUCCAUAACAAGUCGAACUGCAAGUAUAUAUUAUCAAAUAGAAUGAUGGACAAAGAAGAGAAUCUCACAAUUUAUGCAAACCUGCCCGACGGACAAUUUUGAAAAGAAGAAAAAUCUCAACGAGGUUCACAUAAUAGAUCGAGGAGGGAAGCGACCAGCCUGACGGAGACAGGAACGAGUUGAGGAGGAGGCCCAUGGGCGACGGGCGGGAGGAGCACGGAGGGGCGGUCGCCGCCCGCUGACUUGCCGGCGUCGAGGUAGAUGUUGAUCCGCAUCUCUGCCGCCAGCAUCCUACCACCGCUGCCAUCUCGUAGGUCGCCGGAUCUAGCGGAAGGAAACCGUGCUACACCGCCGCCUAAUACGCCAUGCCACACACAUACCUCGCCUCCACCGGUCCACCACCUCCGGCCACUCCGCCUUAUUAGUCGAUCUGCUCGAAGGGGAAGAGUGAAAAGGAAUACAUGGCAGCAGCGCAGCGCAUCGCCGGGACAAACUAAUUUUUUGGAGAGGGAAGAAGAGGGUGCGUGGGGCUCAGAGGCAGGCUACUCUCUUUCUUCCUUCUAGACGAAGGAAAGGAGCGGUGGUACAAGGGAGACGAGAAGGCGUGCUUGUCUCGUGUGCGUUUGCUGCCUUCGUAAUGUUACCUUGGGGAGGUGUCAACCAGGGGCAGCAGCAAUAAA
rnacentral:lncRNA from 1 species